rnacentral:rRNA from 1 species
AUGGUGGCCUCUCUAAUACAGUGCAGAAACUACAUUAGCAGUAGUAGCACUAGAUACUGUUUCAAUGGGCUAAACUUGAUUCUUUCUUCUUGUAAUCACAAUGUGAUUAUUUUUACAUGCAUCCAUCUGUACAUCCACAGUACGGCACCCUUGGAAAAACAUUGCACAAAAGGUGUGCUCCAAAAGUACAACCGGGAAAAAAGAUGGAACAUAAAAACAGAAAGAAAAAUCUGGAGACGUUCACUCUUGAAGAGCUGCGCACAGCAAAUUGCUGGUGAAGUCCAGUGGCUGCUUGCAUCAUUCUGCUUGGAUGGUGGCAAGUUGUUAUUAUGGAGCUGA